GCACGAAAUGCAUGUAGUGAAAAGAUCCCUUCAACCCAGUCCAGCUACCCAGGUCCCUUCCUCAAAGUCAACCAACCUCAUGAGUCUCCUAAACGCCCUUCCAGAGAGCUGUGUCGGGCCGCACAGUCAGGAAGCGCUGCGUUUUAUUUUACCAGCCCCUAUGGAUGGACAUUCGGUGUUGUUUUCUGAUCUUUCGCUCUUAUGAUAAACGUUGCAGUAAAUGACCUUAUACACAGGUAAUAUUCUCUGCGUGCAAAUACAUCUACAGAAAAAGAGUGGCCAGCAGUAGAAUCAUUGAGGCAAAGGAUAUACGAGCCUUCAACUAGUCCCUGGAAUUCUCCGGGUUUUGUCAUCAAAAAGAAAUCCGGAAAAUGGAGAAUGCCGACUGAUCUCCAAGCCAUAAAUAAAAUCAUACAACCCUGAGAAGCUACACCAUUAGAUUGAUUAACACACUCGCUUAGCUGACUUUGUGCACAUAGUCUUCAGCAAUUAUCCUAAUAAAAAGAAGCUUCAUUCUGGAGUUGGGGCCUCAUUCCGACUCGAGUACGAGGACCUUCACUUAACUGCC